rnacentral:rRNA from 1 species
AAAGGAAUUGACGGGGGCCCGCACAAGCGGUGGAUCAUGUGGUUUAAUUCGAAGCAACGCGAAAAACCUUACCUGGGUUUGACAUCCUUUGACAUCCGUAGAAAUACGGCUUUCGUAGCAAUACGACAAAGAGACAGGUGCUGCAUGGCUGUCGUCAGCUCGUGUGGUGACAUGUUGGGUUAAGUCCCGCAACGAGCGCAACCCUUGUCUUUAGUUGCCAGCAUUAAGUUGGGCACUCUAGAGAGACUGCCGUGGUUAACACGGAGGAAGGUGGGGAUGACGUCAAGUCCUCAUGGCCCUUAUGCCCAGGGCGACACACGUGAUACAAUGGCCGGUACAGAGGGCUGCUAAGGGGUGACCCCACGCAAAUCUCAAAAAACCGGUCUCAGUUCGGAUUGGAGUCUGCAACUCGACUCCAUGAAGGUGGAAUCGCUAGUAAUCGCGGAUCAGAACGCCGCGGUGAAUACGUUCCCGGGCCUUGUACACACCGCCCGU